AUUGAACGCUGGCGGCAGGCCUAACACAUGCAAGUCGAACGGUAACAGGAAACAGCUUGCUGUUUCGCUGACGAGUGGCGGACGGGUGAGUAAUGUCUGGGAAACUUCCUGAUGGAGGGGGAUUACUACUGGAAACGGUAGCUAAUACCGCAUAACGUCGCAAGACCAAAGUGGGUGUCCCUCGGGCCUCUUGCCAUCUGAUGUGCCCAGAUGGGAUUAGCUUGUUGGUGGGGUAACGGCCCACCAAGGCGACGAUCCCUAGCUGGACUGAGAGGAUGACCAGACAAGCUGGAAGUGAGACGAGGUCCAGACUCCUACGGGAGGCAGCAGUGGGGAAUAUUGCACAAUGGGAGCGAGACUGAUGCAGCCAAGCCGCGUGUAUGAAGAAGGCAUUCGGGUUGUAAAGUACUUUCAGCGGGGAGGAAGGGAGUAAAGUUAAUACCUUUGCUAAUUGACGUUACCCGAAGAAGAAGCACCGGCUAACUCCGUG
rnacentral:rRNA from 1 species